CCUACGGGAGGCAGCAGUGAGGAAUAUUGGUCAAUGGGCGCGAGCCUGAACCAGCCAAGUCGCGUGGGGGAAGACGGUCCUAUGGAUUGUAAACCUCUUUUGUCGGGGAGCAAAAGACGCCACGCGUGGCGUUCCGAGAGUACCCCUAGAAAAAGCAUCGGCUAACUCCGUGCCAGCAGCCGCGGUAAUACGGAGUAUGCGAGCGUUAUCCGGAUUCAUUGGGUUUAACGGGUGCGCAGGCGGGCCGUUAAGCCGGCGGUGAAAUCGCGGGGCGAAACCCCGUCGAGGCGGUGGAACUGGGGGCCUUGAGUGAGGCGGAGGCAUGCGGAAUGCGCGGUGUAGCGGUGAAAUGCAUAGAUAUCGCGAAGAACCCCGAUUGCGAAGGCAGCGUGCCGUGCCGCCACUGACGCUGAGGCACGAAAGCGCGGGGAUCGAACAGGAUUAGAUACCCUUGUAGUC
rnacentral:rRNA from 1 species